UGUGUGUGUGUGUGUGUGUGUGUAUCUGUAACUCCAUUGAUGUUCCCGAGGGCAACUUAGAAAUACUGAUAUUGGUACGGAUGUUUGUUUUCUGUAUACCACCUCAAUACAUUUAUACCUUAUAGAACAAAUGUUUACCUUAUUAAGUAGACCAACUUCCAGAAGACUAUUAAAAAGUCUUUAUUCUUUUAUACACCAGACUACUCUGUGGCACAGCUCUGUGGUAAAGAGAAGGGUCAGUGAGGAAAGCCUUGCUAAUAAAUGGCCUCCUAGUGACAAUGGGUUAUUACCUCUUUCUGAACCCUUAGGCAGAGACCAGGUUGGAGCCAAGAUUAAAGGCUUCCUGAGUCAUCUUCCAUGGUCUGGCAAGGCCUCUGUUCUCAUCUGUGCAAUCAAAUCUCAAACUGAUUUCUCUCUUUGGUUUUCUUCUUCUUCUUUUUUUGGCAUGGGAGAAAAUAACUUCUGUAUUCUUUUUUUAGGAGAGUGAGAAAAGGAAUAUCAUUCUAUUUCUCAGAAUUGCAUAUAGCAUUUCAAAAAGUGACCUCUUCCCAGAUGUAGCCAAACCUCUGUUGGCAAUGGGAGCACGUAGCCUUUUGAAGGAUGAAAGCUUUAGGUCUCCGGCUUGCCACUCCUUCAUUUUCCUUUUGGAAAAAUGAGAAGAAAAUCACCUACAAAUAAUAUCGGCCACUUUUUUUAUUCAAGAAAUUAAUAAUUCUAGCAAGCCAGCAAGCCGGCAAGCCUUCCCACAGUCACGUGGUGCAUCACAGUCACAGUCCAUGAAUGAGGAGGCCCACUCCAGGUUAGUUUGCUUGUGAUCUACCACCUUAUCUUCAAACAGAAGACUCCAAAUGUUUAUGCCUUCUGCAAUUUUUUUCCCCUGACUUUUAUGUCAGUUGUGCCCUGGUAUGUAAUUCUGUGCCUUUGCCACAUUUUGACCCAGUCCAUGCAUAAGGUUUGCCCUCAGUUUAUCCAAUACCAUCGGAUUCAGUGGCCUUCUGUCAUCUGUUCUCCACACAAUCGCCUGGCCUCAGCACUGUGUGGCUGGCUGCCCUCCAGAUCCUCAUCCUGGAAGCAGCUGUCCUCACAAGGAGAGAGGAGCUUGGUUCAUCUGUAAAUAUUUUCAAGGAGCGGGACUCAAUGUCACAAAGAGGUCAAGGCUUCAGUCAUGUGGGAAGAGUGACAUGAUAGCAUAUGAGAAACGAUUAAACUUAGCAGGCAGUACUGUGCCUCUAAAGUGACAGAGACCUAAAGCGAACCAGUGUAUAUUAGAAGCCUUGCCUUACUGUCUUUCUAGCUAGGCUCUCCAAAUUCAACCUUAAGAUACUCGUGAUGUUGCCUGGAGCAUUUCAGUGAGCUCUUUGUAAAGCUUGGUUCUUCAGACCUCUCUUAAGUACUUUACAUAUACAAGGUUAGGAUGUACCCCUGAAGUAAAGAGAGUAUCAAAUAUUAGCAGAUACAGGCUCAGGGAGUUUGCCUUCUAUUUAGACAAUUUUGGUGAAUUCUAGUCUCCACACAGACUGGAAUAUUAAACAUGUCAUGAUGAAGUCGGAAGAAAUGGGCACCAAAGGAAAGGAUGGAUUAUUGUCACUGGGAGGAUUCAGUGUUAUGCAAGAAGUGGGUGUUGACAUGAAAUGUGGAUGAGUUCUUUUACCCUCUUGUAUGCUAGUGUCUGAGAUGUACAUUUCUUAGGAAGAACACAAUGUAAUGAAAAAUGAGGUGUGUUAUUUGAAGGUGAGUUAAUAUGGAGCAUCAUUGCUAGCAGUCAGAGCUGACUAGAGAAGAGCUCAUUCUGAAUGAAACGUAGAAAAGAGUUUGAUAGGCUAUGUGAGACCAUUUUGGAUGUCUAUCAAAGUUCACAUCAAUGAGAAACAUGCCCUGUGGAGAAGAGGGUCCCAAGGUCUAGGUUAGGAGUAAUAAACUACUCUUCUAACACUGCUGGAAGAAGAUGGAUGGACCACAAAGGCUCUGAGGACACACUACUUGAAUUCAAAUUUCAGCCUCUAGUUUUCUGUGUGUGCCGUUACGUUACAUGAAUCAUUUACUCUCUGUACCCACAGUGUGCUCAUGUGUAAAAAGAGGAUUAAAGUUGACCAAGUCUUCUUAAACUUUCAACUUGGACACUCAGCAUGCAAAGUAUAUAAACAAAUCAAAUGUUAUUAAUAAUAAAAGAUGACUUUAUUUUAAAAUAACUCUUUUGUUUAUGUAACUGUUUACUACUUGUAAAAGACAAAAACAAAUGUAUAAACCUGUGCGAUUUUUUGAGUUUAUUUAUAGGAAAAGAAGUAUAUCAUGGAUGACUAUUUGACAUCACAGCAUGUGAAGCAAA
rnacentral:lncRNA from 1 species